UUGGCUUCCGGUUCACGUCCACCAUCCCGGUGAUGACGACCCGGCGGCA
rfam:Dermacoccus nishinomiyaensis strain M25, complete genome.